UACGUAGGUGGCAAGCGUUGUCCGGAUUUAUUGGGUUUACAGGGUGCGUAGGCGGCCCUGUAAGUCAGUGCUGAAAUAUCCCGGCUUAACCGGGAGGGUGGCAUUGAUACUGCAGGGCUUGAGUACAGAUGAAGUAGGCGGAAUUGACGGUGUAGCGGUGAAAUGCAUAGAUAUCGUCAAGAACACCGAUAGCGAAGGCAGCUUACUAAGCUGUAACUGACGCUGAGGCACGAAAGUGUGGGGAUCAAACAGG
rnacentral:rRNA from 1 species